UACGAAGGGGGCUAGCGUUGCUCGGAAUCACUGGGCGUAAAGCGCACGUAGGCGGAUUGCUAAGUCAGGGGUGAAAUCCUGGAGCUCAACUCCAGAACUGCCUUUGAUACUGGCGAUCUCGAGUUCGGGAGAGGUGAGUGGAACUGCGAGUGUGGAGGUGAAAUUCGUAGAUAUUCGCAAGAACACCAGUGGCGAAGGCGGACUCACUGGCCCGAUACUGACGCU
rnacentral:rRNA from 1 species